rnacentral:sRNA from 1 species
AGGGUCGGACGGUAUAUUUGAUCGAUAAAUCCGCGGUCACACUGAUCUCAAUUGCGGAACAUAAGGCCGUUUUGAAGCCCAACUGUGGCCCACAACUCCGCCCUGCCUCAGCCAGACCACCAGAUCGGCCAGGUGGAUCUUAGCCGACCAGAUCUUAGCCCGAAUCUGAAGAAAACCAAGCUGGAUGAGGCCUCGACGGCGGGGUUGAUGCAAGCACAUAAACGGAUCAGGGCGUGGUGUCUAUGAUGAGCUUCCAUCUGCGUCGCAAAAAGGGACUGGAACAAACCCUGGCGGCCAAGCUUACACCAAAGGCGUACGUCAAGGAGACUCAUGCCGUGCCCGGGCUGCCGGAGCUGCUGGAUCCUGCAUUCCCAACAAGACACGUCUGGACAGAUUAUGCGCCACUACGGCAGUGCAAGGGCAUCCGCCAGUUGCAGGCUUUGUACGUGUCCCACCUGCACGCGGAUCAUCACAUUGGAUUGAUUGGACUGCUGAAGGAGCGCAGAUAGCUGGCCCCGAAGGAAACUCGCUGCUCUUACUUGCGCCGCGGCAGAUCGAGCCAUGGAUGGAGUUCUAACAAGGAUAGCUCUUGGCGAGACUCCUGACUGGAGAGGCAGUGGCACCAUUGGGCAUAACUGCCGCCACUGCCAAGUCACCAGUAGGAACUGCCAAGCCGCCAGUGCGAACAGCUGCUUAAAAUCUUGCGAGACGCUUGGCGAUGCUGUGGAUGAUCGAGUUCAGCCCAACAAUCAACCUUUGCGGAAUGAGAGGAGCAGCAGCAAGGCAAGAAGGACAGUUCGGCUAACUCGUCGCAGUCCUCGGUGGGCAUUGAUGACUAUUGGGAUGAGGCUCUGGUCGGCGACUAUGGAAGCACUCAGAAUGAUGACAGCGAUGACUUGGAUGGUCACAACAACUAGCCACCUAUCGAUGGGCAGCAAGGAAAAGAACCCGGCCGUAACGAGUUGCGUUACUAUUGGCGAUCAAGAGAUCAUAGACUGCAAAGAACAAUUCGACAAGCAGCGGCAGGCAACAUUACUUGGGCCGAGCAGGGCAGUAAAUGUAAAAGUUGUUCUGCACUAUCUUAAAAGCGUGCUCCGGCGGUCUUAAGCCUUCUGCACCAUGUUUUACAUCAUCGGUUUCGACCGGGAGCGCAGACAACUGGCUCCAAAGGAAACUCGCUGCUCAUACUUGCACCGCGGCAGAUUGAGCCAUGGAUGGAGUUCUAACACGGAUAGCUCUUGGCGAGACUCCUGACUGGAGAGGCAGUAACUUUGGGCAUAACUGCCGCCACUACCAAGUCACCAGUACGAACUGCCAAGCCGCCAGUACGAACAGCUGCUUAAAAUCUUGCGAGGCGUUUGGCGAUGCUGUGGAUGAUCGAGUUCAGCCCAACAAUCAACCGUUGCGGAAUGAGAGGAGCAGCAGCAAGGCAAGAAGGAUGCCGAUCAGGAUUUUUACUAAAACCAGGAGAGUUCGGCUAACUCGUCGCAGUCCUCGGUGGGCAUUGAUGACUAUUGGGAUGAAGCUCUGGUUGGCGACUAUGGAAGCACUCAGAAUGAUGACAGCGAUGACUUGGACGGGCACAACAACUAGCCACCUAUCGAUGGGCAGCAAGGAAAAGAACCCGGCCGCAACGAGUUGCGUUACUAUUGGCGAUCAUGAGGUCAUGGACUGCAAAGAACAAUUCGACAAGCAGCAACAUUACUUGGGCCGAGCAGGGCAGUAAAUGUAAAAGUUGUACAGCACUAUCUUUAAAGCGUGCUCCGGCGGUCUUAAGCCUUCUGCACCAUGUUUUACAUCAUCGGUUUCGACCGGGAGCGCAGACAGCUGGCCCCGAAGGAAACUCGCUGCUCUUACUUGCGCCGCGGCAGAUCGAGCCAUGGAUGGAGUUCUAACACGGAUAGCUCUUGGCGAGACUCCUGACUGCAGAGGCAGUGGCACCAUUGGGCGUAACUGCCGCCACUGCCAAGUCACCAGUAGGAACUGCGAAGCCGCCAGUACGAACAGCUGCUUAAAAUCUUGCGAGACGCUUGGCGAUGCUGUGGAUGAUCAAGUUCAGCCCAACAAUCAACAGUUGCGGAAUGAGAGGAGCAGCAACAGGACAAGAAGGAUGCCGAUCAGGAUUUCUACUAAAACCAGGACAGUUCGGCUAACUCGUCGCAGUCCUCGGUGGGCAUUGAUGACUAUUGGGAUGAAGCUCUGGUCGGCGACUAUGGAAGCACUCAGAAUGAUGACAGCGAUGACUUGGACGGGCACAACAACUAGCCACCUAUCGAUGGGCAGCAAGGAGAAGAACCCGGCCGCAACGAGUUGCGUUACUAUUGGCGAUCAUGAGGUCAUGGACUGCAAAGAACAAUUCGACAAGCAGCAACAUUACUUGGGCCGAGCAGGGCAGUAAAUGUGAAAGUUGUACAGCACUAUCUUAAAAGCGUGCUCCGGCGGUCUUAAGCCUUCUGCACCAUGUUUUACAUCAUCGGUUUCGACCGGAUCCAGUGGCCUAAAAAGUGCUAUAGAGCGAUCCUCUCUUACCCCACCAGGAGGUCACCCCCUCCGGUGGCCAUGAAUACCUUUUGCAUGACCGCGAAUACCGAAUUACCCACCAUCGUUUAACUGGGGCUUCACACUUCAGGUCCUCCGGUUUAGCUGAACGAGUGGGCGCUCGAUGGCGGCUGUCCACUCCAGGCGCCUACCGGCUGACAUCGCGAGCUCCCCACCGGCUCUUGGGACAUGACUUACAUCGCGCGAGCUGUGGCCUCUAGCCUGGACGACCUUUGGGUCCUCUCGGGAUGUGUAAGGGAUGUGCUCCUGGCUGGACUGUGGCAGGCACUGUCUGUCCUCCUGCGGGCCAAAGCCAUGAUGCCACUACUGUGUCGCUGAAUCGACAAUGUGGCGUCCCGUCCGCUGCAGCAGGGACCACUGAUCGACUUCAGAAUUGUGGGUUCACGCCCACGGUAAUCAAACGCUGGUCUUCAGCCUCGAGGCGCAGGGCUUAUGUACCAUAUCCAAGCAUUGCCGAAUCGUAUCCCAGCAGGACAAAAGCGCACCCCUUGGAAGAGCCCAAAUCUAACAAGCCGACGUCACAUUUCGACCUGGCCAUUGAAAACUAUCUCAAGGACUUUGGCUAUGGCAACCAAGGGAGGGAUACGCGGACUACCAGACUAUAGAUAGAUCUCGUUGUUAAUAGGUUUAAGGAUACACACGUCUGUACAUUUAGAUAGUAGAUAUAAAUAUUUCCAAAUUGUUAAUUUCUUUAUAGUAAGUUAACGUUAUUAUGAAUAAAACUAUUGAAAAAUUA